CACAAGCCUGAUAAAAGAGAAAGGGACAGGUUGCUUGCAUAACCUCAGUGCAUUACUUUUUUGACAGUGGACAGGUCACGCUUUUAGGAUGGAUUUAAACAGCUGCCUUGGACUGAAUCAAUAUGAAACUUAUUUGCCCAACUAGCUUGCAUAGCACAUGUAAAUGAUGAUUUCUUGCUUGCCUUGCCCUUUAAUAGCAGAAUAAGCUGCUCUGAUUUGGUAUUUCUUUCUAAUUGCUAUCUAUCUUCUUCACUUGCAGCCUCUCAUUUGUAUAGCCUUUCUAGGGCUAGCACAGCUGUGUUGAGCAAUUAGAUGUGGUCCUGUAGAAGUAUAUUUGGGAUGGAUGUUACUGCAGAGUGCUGAUGUAGCUCAUGCUAGCUUGAAUCUGUGCAGCAGGAUGUGCUGAGCGGUCUAGAUUUGGCACUGAAGGAUGUUAACUGGAACAAGAGUCACUUGCCAGGAUAACCAUUGAAUGUAGGGCUCUGAAAUCAAUAUUUUCUGUGAGAUGAUAGUAACCACAUUUCUUCCAGUGGCUUAUCACUGGAGAUAUGGCAAAUUGUCUUGGAUAGUCCCCGAGCUGGUAAACUCUUUAAUACUGUCAGCUUUGUGUUUUGUCUCAUGUUAUGUUAAUUGCUCAGUGCACUAUAGAAAUAAGAAAGAUUGAAUAUUCCAGAAUCCACUUUAACCUGUUUUGGGACAGUCCCAGUUGUUUCAGCACAGAAAAACUAGGCUUUAUUAAUUUAUUUGUGUCUAAUCCCUUCAACUACAAAGUUGGCAGCACACACAGAGAACAUGUGCCAACAUCAGCACUUCCUUUUAAAUAAACAGCAAACUUAGAUAACAUUUACAUGUUACAAAGAAGUGGUUCAUUUGAUAUUUUCUUUCCCUAUUACAGUUGAGCUAUUGGACUGAAUUCCUUCUUGCUUUAGACCACAUAAGAGAAAUACAUAUAACAUCAUUUAAAAGCAAAAAAUCCUUAAAAAGUGAAAUUAGGAAAUGUUUUUUCUUUCUCAGAUAGCAUUUUGUCUCUGGGAAAAUACAUUUUGAGACAUGAGCUCACCCAAUAACUGUGGUAGAAAAAAAGUGCCCAAAUUUUAAAUACCCUGUCAGAAUUUCUGUUUGUAAUUGCAGCUAUGAUGAAUAUAAUAUCCACUGAUUUGGAUCAGCUAAAGCAUCUAGCAUAACCUGCUCUGGAUCAGGGAGCUGGGUAGAGCAAAAUUCAUUUGCAUUGGAGAAAGGAGAAUAGGUUAUCCUAAUUUUCUGUCACUAUACCUGCAUCUAGCCAACAGUGUAUUUGUAUAAAUAUUUUGGUUAAACUAUCAGAAGUCAUAUUAGAUUGACAGAACACUUGUGCAUAUGUUAAGCCUAAAAUACUCCCGAGUAGCUGUACAACAGCUUGUGAAGCUCUUAUUCCUACUAGCUUUUAGGUUAUGUUAGAUUGAUUCUGAACCCCUAUAUACUACUUGGUUUUAAGUAUGUCAUGUUAAUAUCCUCUCACUCUAAAGAAAAUAUUCAAAGAUGUUCCAGUGAUUUGAAAUAGAGCUUCCAGACUUUUCUAGACAGGACCCUUUGGAGCAUCAACAGCAUCCCUCGCAAUUGUGGGAUGAAGAAGGGACAAUGUGCAUUUUGUGCACUGCAUUUUUGAUCCUAAAUCAAACAAGUUUUAUAUCUUGGAUACAUGUGAUCCUGCUGACCAGACCGGUAUCAAUCAUAAAGCUACAGGCAUUUCUCUGGAAGAGAUUUUCAGGGAGGAAGGAGAGAACAAGCCUCAGAGUGAGUAUAAAGCUGGAGUUAUGUAUUAGUAUUUAAGGCCAUCUUGGGGUUUGUGUGGGGUUGUUUUUUUAAUAAAAUGCUGAUAGUAGUUUAUUUGCUUACUUAAUUGAUGGUGUGACGGUGACUGAAGUGGGAAAUGAUCUGCUCCUGUAGUAAAUGUAACUGCUAAGUGAAUGCUACUGUGUAAUCACUGGUUUUUACGGUUUAUAACAGCUGAACUCCUGCAUCUAGAACAGACAUGAUUUAUGUGUAAUGAAAAGCCACAUGAAUAAAACUCCCCAAAUGGAUAUAAAAAAUUCAGAUCCAAAAUUAUAUUUUUUGACAGAAUGGAUGUGGAGAGCAGAGCAUGAAGUUGAAGAAAUCUAAUAUAUGGAUAUGCCAAAGGAAAGGUUGGGAUCCAAUUAAAGAAGAUCAGGGAAGACAGAACUGGACAAGACCUCAUAGAAUGCUGGGCUGUUCCUUUUGCUCCCAGAAGGAUGAACAGAACAUUGACCAUCCCCAGUAGGUACAGUUUUACCUAGUUUCUUCGUCUUCCCCCUCCCCAGUCUUCCAAAUGAAUGAAAGGAAGAAAUUAUCACAAUACUUUUACCCUGAUAAAUAUUUGGUUGGAUUUUAGUUACUUCCACAGUUGGAAAAAUAAAUUAGUAAGUCUGA